rnacentral:misc_RNA from 1 species
UCUCCGUUGGUGAACCAGCGGAGGGAUCAUUACAGAGUUGCAAAACUCCCAAACCAUUGUGAACGUUACCUAUCCCGUUGCUUCGGCGGGCGGCCCGGGCCCCGCGCCCGGCGCCCCCCGGCCCCCCGUGGGCGCCCGCCGGAGGUGAACCAAACCCUUGAAUUGCAUGGCCUCUCUGAGUCUUCUGUACUGAAUAAGUCAAAACUUUCAACAACGGAUCUCUUGGUUCUG